rnacentral:rRNA from 1 species
AACGAACGCUGGCGGCAUGCCUAACACAUGCAAGUCGAACGAGACCUUCGGGUCUAGUGGCGCACGGGUGCGUAACGCGUUGGAACCUGCCCUUAGGUUCGGAAUAACUCCCCGAAAGGGGUGCUAAUACCGGAUAAUGUCUUCGGACCAGAGAUGUAUCGCCUUUGGUUGGUCCCGCGUUGUAUUAGCUAGGUGGUAGGGUAAACGCCUACCAAGGCGACGAUCCGUAGCUGGUCUGUGAGGCUGAUCAGCCACACUGGGACUGAGACACGGCCCAGACUCCUACGGGAGGCAGCAGUGGGGAAUAUUGGACAAUGGGCGAAAGCCUGAUCCAGCAAUGCCGCGUGAGUGAUGAAGGCCUUAGGGUUGUAAAGCGCUUUUACCCGGGAUGAUAAUGACAGUACCGGGAGAAUAAGCUCCGGCUAACUCCGUG